rnacentral:rRNA from 1 species
GACGAACGCUGGCGGCGUGCUUAACACAUGCAAGUGGAGCGACGAACCAGGGCUUGCCCUGGGGCAGAGCCGCGAACGGGUGAGUAACACGCGGGUAACGUGCCCCGAUGACUGGGACAACCCGGGGAAACCCGGGCUAAUACCGGAUGUGCCCCCUCACAUCAGUGAGGUGUGUAAAGGAAGCUUCGGCCUCCGCAUCGGGAUCGGCCCGCGGCCCAUUAGCUUGUUGGUGAGGUAACGGCUCACCAAGGCUGCGAUGGGUAGCUGGUCUGAGAGGACGAUCAGCCACACUGGGACUGAGACACGGCCCAGACUCCUACGGGAGGCAGCAGUGGGGAAUCUUGCGCAAUGCGCGAAAGCGUGACGCAGCAACGCCGCGUGGGGGAAGACGGCCUUCGGGUUGUAAACCCCUUUCAGUUGGGACGAAGGUCGGGCGGUUAACAGCCGUUCCGGCUGACGGUACCUUCACAAGAAGCCCCGGCUAACUACG